GAAUGUCAAAUUUCUAGUAUGAGAAAUUAACGAUUUAAGUCCUUCUUAAAUGAGGCCAUUUACCCAAAGAGGGUGCCAGGCCCGUAUAACGUUAAUGAUUACUAGAUGGCAUUUCCAAAGAGUCGUGUUGCUUGAUAGUGCAGCACUAAGUGGGUGGUAAACUCCAUCUAAAACUAAAUAUAACCAUGAGACCGAUAGCAAACAAGUACCGUGAGGGAAAGUUGAAAAGAACUCUGAAUAGAGAGUUAAAUAGUACGUGAAACUGCUUAGAGGUUAAGCCCGAUGAACCUGAAUAUCCAUUAUAGAAAAUUCAUCAUUAUGAUUUUAAUAUUAAUAAUAUUAUAAUAAUGGUGUGCAUUUUUUCUAUAAAGGACAUUGUAAUCUAUUAACAUAAAUAUAAAUUUAUCAUAAGAUCAAUGUGGCGUAAGUUUAUUCAAAUUAUUUUGCUUGCAUUUUAACAUAGAAUAAAUGCCAUUUGAUUUGAUAAAGUGUUGAUAGAUUUAUUAUAUAUAGUGCUUAAAUAUUUUUUUUUUAAAAUAUUUUAUAAUAGCAUAUUAAUCAUUGAUUUUUAUGUUUAUUAUAUGCACUUAUAUGAUUAACAAUGCGAAAGAUUCAGGAUACCUUCGGGACCCGUCUUGAAACACGGACCAAGGAGUCUAACAUAUUUGCAAGUUAUUGGGAAUAAAAACCUAAUAGCGAAAUUAACAUAACUUUAAUGGGAUUAGUUUUUAGAUUAUUUAUAGUCUAUUAAUUCAAUCCCGGGGCGUUCUAUAUAGUUAUGUAUAAUAAUAUUUAUAUUAUUUAUACCUCUAACUAGAGCGUACCUUGAGCAAAUAUGCUGUGACCCGAAAGAUGGUGAACUAUACUUGAUCAGGUUGAAGUCAGGGGAAACCCUGAUGGAAGACCGAAACAGUUCUGACGUGCAAAUCGAUUGUCAGAAUUGAGUAUAGGGGCGAAAGACCAAUCGAACCAUCUAGUAGCUGGUUCCCUCCGAAGUUUCCCUCAGGAUAGCUGGUGCAUUUAGAAAUUAUGUAAAAUAAUCUUAUCUGGUAAAGCGAAUGAUUAGAGGCCUUAGGGUCGAAACGAUCUUAACCUAUUCUCAAACUUUAAAUGGGUAAGAACCUCACCUUUCUUGGUAUGAAGGUUGUGGUUGUGAUAUAAUGUGCCCAGUGGGCCACUUUUGGUAAGCAGAACUGGCGCUGUGGGAUGAACCAAACGUAAUGUUACGGUGCCCAAAUUAACAACUCAUGCAGAUACCAUGAAA
rnacentral:rRNA from 1 species